AUGGCUCAGGAUGAACGCUAGCGGCAGGCUUAACACAUGCAAGUCGAGGGGCAUCGGGAGUAGCAAUACUUGCCGGCGACCGGCGCAAGGGUGCGUAACGCGUGAGCAACAUGCCCGUAUCAGGGGGAUAAUCCAUAGGAAACGUGGUCUAAUACCCCAUAGUAAUUAUGUAAGGCAUCUUAUAUAAUUUAAAGCUUUGGUGGAUACGGAUUGGCUCGCGUGACAUUAGCUAGAUGGUAAGGUAACGGCUUACCAUGGCUACGAUGUCUAGGGGUUCUGAGAGGAAGGUCCCCCCACACUGGAACUGAGACACGGUCCAGACUCCUACGGGAGGCAGCAGUGAGGAAUUUUAUGGACAAUGGAUGGAAAUCUGAUCCAGCCAUGCCGCGUGCAAGGGAAGACGGCCCUAUGGGUUGUAAACUGCUUUUGUAUGGGAGCAAUAAGGGCUACGCGUAGUCCGAUGAGAGUACCAUACGAAUAAGCACCGGCUAACUCCGUGCCAGCAGCCGC
rnacentral:rRNA from 1 species